UUACGGUCAAAUCACGCUGAAACACCGGUUCUCGUUCGAUCACCGAAGUUAAGCAUCGUAGAGCCAGGUCAGUACUUAGAUGGGGGACCGCUUGGGAACACCUGGUACU